AGUGGACGCUGGCGGUAGGCCUAACACAUGCAAGUCGAACGGCAGCACAGUAAGAGCUUGCUCUUACGGGUGGCGAGUGGCGGACGGGUGAGGAAUACAUCGGAAUCUACUUUUUCGUGGGGGAUAACGUAGGGAAACUUACGCUAAUACCGCAUACGACCUACGGGUGAAAGCAGGGGAUCUUCGGACCUUGCGCGAUUGAAUGAGCCGAUGUCGGAUUAGCUAGUUGGCGGGGUAAAGGCCCACCAAGGCGACGAUCCGUAGCUGGUCUGAGAGGAUGAUCAGCCACACUGGAACUGAGACACGGUCCAGACUCCUACGGGAGGCAGCAGUGGGGAAUAUUGGACAAUGGGCGCAAGCCUGAUCCAGCCAUACCGCGUGGGUGAAGAAGGCCUUCGGGUUGUAAAGCCCUUUUGUUGGGGAAGAAAAGCAGCAGGUUAAUACCCCGCUGUUCUGACGGUACCCAAAGAAUAAGCACCGGCUAACUUCGUG
rnacentral:rRNA from 1 species